UAGCAUUAUAAUAUAGCGUUUAAUGGUCUUUUGCUAUGGUUGACAUACUUUUUAUAGUGUUUGUCGAAAAAGAGACGCUGUGUUUGAUUGAUGCGAAAAACCUAAUUCAUUCUCCCUCUCACUUUCGUUUACUCUCCCUCCAUUGUUUCACUUAUCAAGCUUUUUAAUUUCUCACUGUUUCUGUCCAUCUACGGAUACUCAUCUAAACUCUUAAUCCAGAUUCAUAACUAUAUGUGUCAUCUUCCUCUUCUCCACCAAAAAUAAUGAACCCCCAGAUCUGUUUUAGAUCUCGUCACCGCUCAAUCUCUAUCGCCGGAGUAACCGAAUAAGAUGUGACCACAGAGUUCUUUCGUUGAUUCUCUGAAGUUUGCAAGGGAUCUACUUCGUCGGCGUUGCCACCAUCCCGUCUCCUAGAACUGUCGUCGUUUCCUCAUCUUAGCGUUUGAGUCUGUUGAGAUUUUGUUUUAGGGUUCACCAAUUUGUGUUUUUUAUUCAUAACUCUUAUGAUUUUGUUAAUUCUUCAUGCAUUGGAUUAUAUUAAUUGAGUCGCAACGAUGCUAAUCUUUGAAGGAAUUGAUGUUCUCAUAGAUGAAAGUGAGUGAUAAUUGGGAACGAAGAAUAAGAUCUUUUUGUCGAAGCAUUGGAUCUGUAACGGCGACUGCUGAAGGAAGAAACGAUAUGGUGAGGAAUGAGACAACAUAUCGUGAAGUCAGAUUCAAGAUCUUGACUGUUUCAUAUAUUAAAAAAUCAAGGUAUGAGAUGGGUUGAAGAUGCGGACAACGAGACUGGGUGGGUGUUGAAGAUAGGAGAAGAAAAUAGAAGCGAUGAUGACUUAGUGGUUUCUUUUGCAAUUUUAAGUUUUAAUUUCUUUUUGUUCUACAUUGAGUAAUAAUAUUUAGAUAACA